GAGUUCUUGCAGUAUGAAUAUGAAUUCAAACCAUGCUUCACACACAUUCAUAUUCUGUUGAUAAAUAACAAACAAACACUUUACAAUUCAUGAGAAAUGAAAAAUGACUGUAUUAUGGAUAUUAAUUUUGAUCUUCAGCACCAUGUAUACAGUUCAGAUUGAUAGACACUGGGUAACUGCACAAUCCCCCACUGACCCAUCAGUUUAUCAGCCUGAUAAAGAGCUCAGUGUGAAUAUCGGAGACUCGGCUACUCUGCAGUGUUGUAUUUUAGAAAAAGAAGUUGGAUUGAUGGUCUGGUUUAAGCAACCAAACAGAAAAAAACCUCAGAUUAUAGUAACAGUAUUUAAAAGUAGUGGAGAAGCGUUUCACAAUGGAUUCCAAAAGUCUCGUUUCCAAAUAGAAAGAUCUUCAGACUGCUUCAAUAUGAUCAUUUUAAACAUCAUUCAGUCCGAUGAAGCCAUGUACUACUGUGCACUCACAAGACCCAACAUUGUGUUUGGAGAUGGAACUUAUUUAAAAAUUAAAGAAACAUCUAAACCAGCUCUGAGUGAUAAUUCAGUGGUGUGUGAACCAACACCGCAUGGAAACAACACUGACAUGAACACACAAGAAAACACAGUGAUCGGUUUGAGAACGGCUUUGGGUUUGUGCGCACUUCUGAUUUUCUGUCUCACUUAUUUCAUACUGAUGAGAUGUGCUAAACAAAACACUUUUACAGUAGGGAACACUUUUCCAGGAACAAGGCAGGAUUCUGAAGCUGAAACACUGAAUUAUGAAUUCUCCAUGAGCUCAUCAGAUGAGUGUCUGUACUCCGACGUGAAUACCACUGUAAGAUAUGAUAUAGUUGUUUUAUAACACAGGUGAUACUAUCAUAUGGCAAAAAACAGUGAAAACAUCUUCACUAUAUGCUCAUUUAUUCCAUAUUGUGUAAUUAUGUAUAAAAUGUGUAGGAUUAUUUGGAAAGGAUUGUUAAGAAAAUUCUUAAUAUAAGACUUGAAAUUGUCUUAUAUUAACUGAAAGAUGCAUAUAUUUCUAAGAGUAAAAUUCUAUGCAA